rnacentral:rRNA from 1 species
UACACACCGCCCGUCACACCACUGGAAGUCUGUUGCACCAGAAGUCGGUAGUCUAACCGCAAGGGGGGCGCCGACCACGGUGUGGCCGAUGACUGGGGUG